UGGCUGUCACGUUUUUGGCCUUCAGUGGCGAAGCUCAUCUUGCUUCUGAAAUUGCUAUCUUCCUGUGCUGUGAGCCAAGAACAUGUUAUAACAGCAAAACCCCCUCUGAGAGGAUCAUACUCUGAAGCUCAAGUUCAAGGUUACCCUGGGCUUGACAAUAUGAACAUCCACACUUCUUGAUUGGAGUCUUACAUUUCAGAAGGAUUUUCAUCUGGAGACUGCUGUGGGUGCUUAGCUGAGAAGGAAUGUUCUCCAAGAGGAGUUCUGCUACACUCAGACCAACAGAAGACUACACAAUUGGAUGAACGCCAUCGCUGCUCACUGUACUGUUUACAUUAGGAGGUGCAAUGGCGGAGGACAAACUGACGCCCAGUUAAGCUUUAAUACUGCACAGCCCUUAUUCCAGUAGGACCUGGGCUUUACCAACAAGCACAAUUUGAUCUGGAGACAAGUUUCUGUGGGAUUUUCAAAAGAAGAGAUGUGAAAUAUUGAAGAUAUGAAGGCCCCAGGCAUUAUAUUUCUGCACAGCACGUGGGACUAGAAGGAGCCAUUAUAGACCCUAUUCACAGGGAGUGGGCAGCUGAGUGGCACCUUCUUUGAUUCAGCCUGUCUCCAAGAAUGGAAGGAGAGAGCAAG